rnacentral:lncRNA from 1 species
GAUAGGGACGGCAAGUGAAGUAUGGUCUCCUGAAAGCUCUAGCACAGGAAGGUCCACAGGAGGAGGGUUCUGUUGGUUGGGUUUGCCGUGGAGGUAUUGUGGGAAUGGCUUAUUCUGAAAACCUCUAGAUCCCCUUCACAUCUUCUUCAAUACCAACGACCCUUUGAACCAAGUUCUAAACCAGCUGAUGUAAAUUUGCCAU